GCAGUGCCGGGAGCGGAGCUCAGAGCCGAGGGGCGCCGCGUGCUGCUGGCCCGGGGGACCAUGGGCUCCAUGUUCCGGAGCGAGGAGGUCGUGCUGGUGCAACUCUUCCUGCCCACCUCCGCUGCCUAUACCUGCGUGAGCCAGCUUGGCGAGCUGGGUCUCGUGGAGUUCAGAGACCUCAAUGCCUCGGUGAGCGCCUUCCAGAGACGCUUCGUGGGGGAUGUUCGACGCUGCGAAGAGUUGGAGAAAACCUUCU